AGAAAAUGAGAGCUUAAUUGCGAGCUUGAAUGGGAUUGGGCUCAAACUUGGCCAAAGGUAUACCCGAGUCUCGCCUGAAAAUCAAUUGGACUCUAUAUCUUAGCCCAAAUUCGGUCCAAUUUUUUUGGGCCUAGCUUGAAGCAUGACCCAAAGUUAGCCUGGCCCGAUGGGCCUCGAGCCAGCCCACUCCCAAUUCCAAGCCUAAUCGC
rnacentral:lncRNA from 1 species